rnacentral:sRNA from 1 species
CAAAAAAAAACUAAAAAAAC